UACGUAGGGUGCAAGCGUUAAUCGGAAUUACUGGGCGUAAAGCGUGCGCAGGCGGUUGGGCAAGACAGAUGUGAAAUCCCCGGGCUCAACCUGGGAAUUGCAUUUGUGACUGCACGGCUAGAGUGUGGCAGAGGGGGGUAGAAUUCCACGUGUAGCAGUGAAAUGCGUAGAGAUGUGGAGGAAUACCGAUGGCGAAGGCAGCCCCCUGGGAUAACACUGACGCUCAUGCACGAAAGCGUGGGGAGCAAACAGG
rnacentral:rRNA from 1 species